UGGGGAAUAUUGGACAAUGGGCGGAAGCCUGAUCCAGCAACGCCGCGUGAGGGAUGACGGCCUUCGGGUUGUAAACCUCUUUCACCUAUGACGAAGCGCAAGUGACGGUAGUAGGAGAAGAAGCACCGGCCAACUACGUGCCAGCAGCCGCGGUAAUACGUAGGGUGCGAGCGUUGUCCGGAAUUAUUGGGCGUAAAGGGCUCGUAGGCGGUUUGUCGCGUCGGGAGUGAAAACCCAGGGCUUAACUCUGGAACUGCCUUUGAUACUGGAUGUCUUGAGUGUGAGAGAGGUAUGUGGAACUCCGAGUGUAGAGGUGAAAUUCGUAGAUAUUCGGAAGAACACCAGUGGCGAAGGCGACAUACUGGCUCAUUACUGACGCUGAGGCUCGAAAGCGUGGGGAGCAAACAGGAUUAGAUACCCUGGUAGUCCACGCCGUAAACGAUGAUUGCUAGUUGUCGGGAUGCAUGCAUUUCGGUGACGCAGCUAACGCAUUAAGCAAUCCGCCUGGGGAGUACGGUCGCAAGAUUAA
rnacentral:rRNA from 1 species